rnacentral:rRNA from 1 species
GUGCCAGCAGCCGCGGUAAUACGUAGGUGGCAAGCGUUGUCCGGAAUUACUGGGCGUAAAGGGCGUGUAGGCGGCCUUUUAAGUCAGACGUGAAAUCCCUGGGCUUAACCCAGGAACUGCGUUUGAAACUGAGAGGCUUGAGGAUCGGAGAGGGCAGUGGAAUUCCCAGUGUAGCGGUGAAAUGCGUAGAUAUUGGGAGGAACACCAGUGGCGAAGGCGACUGUCUGGACGACACCUGACGCUGAGGCGCGAAAGCUAGGGGAGCAAACGGGAUUAGAUACCCUCGUAGUCC